rnacentral:lncRNA from 1 species
GUGUUUGCUAAGAGGUACACCAAUAUGGAACUGAGCAACAAUCUCACAAGGGUCAUCCUGCCCAUCAUGGAGAGGGUGUUGCUUAUCAUUCCUCAAGACGAUCUUGAACCCACUGCUCCAUGGGCCUGUAGUCGGCCCUCUAGAGUUAUCUCUCCAUGAUAGGAACAUCCAGAUAGAUCAAGAUCCCGAUCAGCUCCCGGAUCCCCUCUUUUGAAUCACCUGCUUCACUUGAGUCUUUGGCCUGGGGAUUGAAGAUAAUUGCAGACUUUUGCAGGUCCAUAAGCUGGCUAGAUGUCUGACAAUAGGCAUCGAUAAUGGAUGCAAAGCACCUCACAUUCUGGACCGAGAUCCAUCCAAUGAGAAGA